AACUAACUAACUAACUAACUAACUCACUCACUCCCUCUUUCGUUACCUAGCAACGCACUCACUCUUUGGUCACCUAGCAACAAUCUAUUGGCCAUAUUGUCGAGCCAUGUUGAAUUGACUCACGCUGUCCCGCCCGGCAUGGAAAAAAGGUCGUCCAAAACCACGGACAUCACCUUUAAGACAGUAAAAGCCGACCGACAUGGAUGCAGGCCGCUGCUGUUUUGUGUUCCUCGUCAUAUGAACUCGUCUCCUGAGUGCAGAUGCUGUCAGAGUGAUCGAUCCGCUCUGCGGCUGAAGAACUCCACAUGUAAAAUAAAACGUCUGGCUGCUCGCGCACGGUGACACUUUGCACUU